rnacentral:rRNA from 1 species
UACGUAGGUGGCAAGCGUUGUCCGGAAUUAUUGGGCGUAAAGCGCGCGCAGGCGGUUCCUUAAGUCUGAUGUGAAAGCCCACGGCUCAACCGUGGAGGGUCAUUGGAAACUGGGGGACUUGAGUGCAGAAGAGGAGAGCGGAAUCCCACGUGUAGCAGUGAAAUGCGUAGAGAUGUGGAGGAACACCGAUGGCGAAGGCAGCCCCCUGGGCUAACACUGACGCUGAGGCGCGAAAGCGUGGGGAGCAAACAGG